UAAUACGGAGGGGGCGAGCGUUAUUCGGAAUUAUUGGGCGUAAAGGGCGCGUAGGCGGCUUCUUAAGUCAAAGGUGAAAUCCCUCGGCUCAACUGAGGAACUGCCUUUGAAACUGGGAAGCUUGAGUCCGGGAGGGGGUAGCGGAAUUCCCAGUGUAGCGGUGAAAUGCGUAGAUAUUGGGAGGAACACCAGUGGCGAAGGCGGCUACCUGGACCGGAACUGACGCUGAUGCGCGAAAGCGUGGGUAGCAAACAGGAUUAGAUACCCUGGUAGUCCACGCUGUAAACGAUGAGUGCUGGACGUUGGUGGGCUUGCCUGCCGGUGUCGCAGCUAACGCGUUAAGCACUCCGCCUGGGGAGUACGGCCGCAAGGUUG
rnacentral:rRNA from 1 species